UACGGGGGGGGCAAGCGUUGUUCGGAAUUACUGGGCGUAAAGGGCUCGUAGGUGGCCAACUAAGUCAGACGUGAAAUCCCUCAGCUUAACCGGGGAACUGCGUCUGAUACUGGAUGGCUGGAGUAUGGGAGAGGAAUGCGGAAUUCCAGGUGUAGCGGUGAAAUGCGUAGAUAUCUGGAGGAACACCGGUGGCGAAGGCGGCAUUCUGGACCAUUACUGACGCUGAGGAGCGAAAGCCAGGGGAGCAAACGGG
rnacentral:rRNA from 1 species